rnacentral:rRNA from 1 species
AGUGAACGCUGGCGGUAGGCCUAACACAUGCAAGUCGAACGGCAGCACAGUAAGAGCUUGCUCUUACGGGUGGCGAGUGGCGGACGGGUGAGGAAUACAUCGGAAUCUACUUUUUCGUGGGGGAUAACGUAGGGAAACUUACGCUAAUACCGCAUACGACCUACGGGUGAAAGCAUGGGAUCUUCUGACCUUGCGCGAUUGAAUGAGCCGAUGUCGGAUUAGCUAGUUGGCGGGGUAAAGGCCCACCAAGGCGACGAUCCGUAGCUGGUCUGAGAGGAUGAUCAGCCACACGAGAACUGAGCCACGGCCCAGGCUACUACGGGAGGCAGCAGUGGGGAAUAUGGGACAAAGGGCGCAAGCCUGAUCCAGCCAUACCGCGUGGGUGAAGAAGGCUUUCGGGUUGUAAAGCCCUUUUGUUGGGAAAGAAAAGCAGCAGGUUAAUACCCCGCUGUUCUGACGGUACCCAAAGAAUAAGCACCGGCUAACUUCGUG